rnacentral:rRNA from 1 species
GAUGAACGCUAGCUACAGGCUUAACACAUGCAAGUCGAGGGGUAACGAGAGGAAAGCUUGCUUUCCUUGUCGACGACCGGCGCACGGGUGAGUAACGCGUAUCCAACCUGCCCCCAACUAGGGAAUAACCUUGCGAAAGUAAGACUAAUACCCUAUAAUUUCCUCAGAUGUCAUCUGACGAGGACUAAAGAUUUAUCGGUUGUGGAUGGGGAUGCGUCUGAUUAGCUUGUUGGCGGGGUAACGGCCCGCCAAGGCAACGAUCAGUAGGGGUUCUGAGAGGAAGGUCCCCCACAUUGGAACUGAGACCAGGUCCAAAAUCCUACGGGAGGCAGCAGUGAGGAAUAUUGGUCAAUGGGCGGAAGCCUGAACCAGCCAAGUAGCGUGCAGGAUGACGGCCCUAUGGGUUGUAAACUGCUUUUAUACAGGAAUAAAGUUAGCCACGUGUGGUUAUUUGUAGGUACUGUAUGUAUAAGGACCGGCUAAUUCCGUGCCAGCCGCCGCGGUAA